UACAAAUUAAUGAUCCUAAACAUUUAUUUAAUUUUAAAUACUUAGUUAAAAUAAUUUCGAACUUUAUGAACUUUACGAAUAUUGCUUUACGAAACUUUUCUAGUCUGUCGUUAGGUGGAGCCAAAUUCACAACACAACAUAACCUUAAUAGAAAUAUGAAGGGAGUAAAGCGUAACUUCCUACUGACUCCGGCAGAUAGCGCAGCGAUUGGCAGCGACUGUUAGAUUAAUGACGUAGCAAGUUUGCAUAUAUACUUGUAUGAUUAUAUUAAAGUUUGAUGAAGUCAUGAUUACGAUAAUAGUAUUGCACAUGUUCAAUAUUGCAAGUUGUACAUAAAUCAGAUGUGGUAUAUAUUCUCAGCAAGAAAUCCGUAAGCUGUAUUAUACAAAGAGCUACUUUUGUGCAUAGUUCUUGAAAUAUUUCAUUCCAAUUUGUAAUUAUUUAUAUUUUUAAUUUGUUAAAAGUAUUCGUUAUAUUAACGAGUGACAAAUUCAAGUUAUAUGUAUUUGGUUUUUUUCUGUGAUAAAGCUUAUUCAAUAAUUGUGAUUAGAGCUUAUAAAAAAGACAGAUUUUCUACAUAUCAAAAUAUGGAAUUUCCCAAUUUAGGAGAACAUUGUUCAGAGCAAACUUGCAAUCGUUUAGACUUUUUACCUUUAAAAUGUGAUGCUUGUGAAGCUAUAUUUUGCACGGAUCAUAUAUCGUAUAUAAAUCAUUCCUGUCCUAGCGCUUAUAAAAAAGAUAUACAGGUGCCAGUGUGCCCCUUGUGCAACAACCCGGUUCCACAAAAACGAGGGGAUCCUCCAGACUUGGCUGUGAGCAUGCAUAUAGACAGCGACUGCCAAUCUGAUGUUAGAAAUGAUCGUAGAAAAAUAUUUUCCAAUAAGUGUUCAUCUAAAGGAUGCAAAGUUAAAGAAAUAGUGCAGGUCAAAUGCAACGACUGUGGAAGUAAUUUUUGUUUGAAGCAUAGACAUCCUAGCGAUCAUGCAUGUAUUGGCAAAGAGGAAGCAGUUAGACUUAAAAGAUUGAGUAAUCUGAAUAAACGUACUAUGGCUUCGCAGAACGAUAAUCACAAUAAUUCUGUUGUAUUCCGUAACCUUCAAGGUACAAUGAGUGAAGAUGAAGCUUUGGCUAGAGCAUUGCAGGCUUCAUUACAAGACGAAGGAAAAAAUACUCGGCAAGGGUUACAGCCAGUGCCUUCUGCACAUAGAAACAGAUGCAGACUUUCUUAAUUCUAAUGCAUCAUUGUUAAUAAUCAAUUUAAAAUUUAACAAAAUACUGCGGUUUAAAACCUUCAUUAAAAAGAGUACAUUUCUACUGUGUCUUACAUACAAUAUUUCAGUAAUUAAGUAGGCGUACCCAUUUUCUACAAUUUAAGCACGUUAGAAUAUAAAAACACAAUUUUUAUGCGAAAAUAAUAAUAUUUAUCAAUUAAUUAAGCAAUGAAUUACAGCUGUAUCGGAUGCUAAAUCUUUUGGAUAUAUCUUUAAGUAAUAUGCAUAUUCAAAUAUCUUACAAUUAGAUUGAAAAUAUUUUAUAUC
rnacentral:misc_RNA from 1 species